rnacentral:rRNA from 1 species
AUGGCAGUUUCAGAGAAGACGCGACCAUGCUCAUCGUCUUCGUUGGGUUUGGACCCGCUGUUGAAGGAUCUUACAGAGAAGAAGUUGAGCUUUAGGAGAAACGUGGCAUCUCUGGCGUCUGAGCUAAAAGAUGUAAGGCACAAGCUUGCUUCGCAGGAGCAGUUGUUUACUAGGGAAUCCCAAACCAGGGAGGUUAGUAAAUUUCUACUACUUGGUAAUUUCUACCUUCAGCAUGGCUUACAAAGUUACAAGUUUGAUCUGACUAGGGAGAGAACGUUUCAGGUUGCAGAGACGAAGGCAAGGAGCAUGGAGGAGGAAGUGAGUAAGCUGCAGAAAUGCUUACUGGACAAAGAUGAGCAGCUAAAUGCAACGAGAGGCAUCACCGAACAUUACCUCGAUGAUUUGGAUGAUCUUAAAUCACGACUAUCAGUUACUCAAGCUACAGCAGAAGCCAGUGCUGCAUCAGCCAUGUUGGCUCAGGCGCAGUGCUUGUCCUUGCUGAAAGAGCUGAAUGAGAAGGAUCGCGCUCUGAAAGAGCACGAGCUUCGAGUUAACAAGCUUGGCGAGCAGCUAGGUCUUCUCCAGAAGGACCUUGAGGCAAGGGAGCUUUCACAGAGGCAACUCAAGGAUGAAGUUUUAAGGAUUGAGACCGACAUCAUGGGUGCAGUUUCCAGAGCUGGGUCUAGUAAAGAUAACGAGCUUCUGAAGGUUUUGUCCGAUGUUUCACCAAGGAAUAUCGAGAAUAUUAGCAAGCAUUUGAAUACUAAGGAUACAGAGAUUGCCAGGCUGAGAGAUGAAAUCAGGAUAUUAUCUGUUCAUUGGACAAACAAAACAAAGGAACUAGAGUCACAACUAGAGAAGCAGCGCAGAACCGACCAGGAGCUGAAGAAAAGGGUUCUCAAACUCGAAUUCUGCCUUCAAGAAUCACGGUCUCAAAUCCGGAAACUUCAGAGGAUGGGGGAGAAGAGGGACAAGCAGCUCAAGGAGCUCAAGGAUCAGAUGGCCAUGAAGCAGCCCAAGGGCCCUCGCCGCGACGAAGGCAAGAAGCCCUUCUGGGAGAAUGACACGUUCAAGUUCGUCGCCGGCAUGUCAAUGCUGGUCGUGAUGGUCCUCGCAAAGCGCUGA